rfam:Salmo salar isolate Sally breed double haploid chromosome ssa24, whole genome shotgun sequence.
GGGGAUCGGGUCUUCUGAGUCUGCAGUACUCAGGCUAUGUGUGCCUCUGCAGCAGGUGCAGGCCCAGCAAUUCUC